CAGGUUAAAGUCCUGGCAAGAAUU
rnacentral:tRNA from 1 species